rnacentral:tRNA from 1 species
GCCGAAGUAGUUCAGCGGUAGAAUACAACCUUGCCAAGGUUGGGGUCGCGGGUUCGAAUCCCGUCUUCUGCUCCA